GCCGAAAUAGCUCAGUUGGGAGAGUCUUAGACUAAAGAUCUAAAGGUCCCUGGUUCGAACCCGGGUUUCAGCA
rnacentral:tRNA from 1 species